AGCAUUUCCAGUUCGUGGCUCGUAAAGAGAGCAUCUUCCAACGAUUUUGUCUAUGUAACUCAACUUCAUAUGAGGUGCAGUAACUGGACGUUUAUGAACCUACGAUUCCAGCGGUUAUAAUUGAAAUAUCCAGAAUUUCAUAAAAAUAUUUUUUUAAAAAAAUUUAACCAUGUCUUAAUACUUUUUUGUUACAGAUACUUCACAAUUUCUCUUUUUUUAUUUACAGCUGUUAAUCUAAUAUCUUUUUUUAUUUGACUCUGAAUAAUACAAAAUUGCACAGUGUCAAAUGUUUUACCAAUUCUUAAUGAAUUUAUAUUUUUCAUUAACUGGUACUCGCUAUACAUUACUAAAUUAUAUAUUUUCAGGAUCUAGUACCUGCUAUGGUAACUUUUAUUGCACAGUGUUAAAUGUUUUAGCAAUUGUUAAUAACUUUCUACUUUUCAUCAACUGGUACUCGCACUACAUUACUAAAUUAAAUAUUUUCAGGAAUCAGUAUCUAAUCUAUGGUACCUUAUAUUGUACUGUGUCACAUGCUUUACCAUUUCUUAAUAUAUAAUGACUUUCUACUUUUCAGUAACUGGCAUGCGCUCUAGAGUACUAAAUAUUACAUAGUGUUGAAUGUUUUACCAAUUCUUAAUGACUUUCAUAUUUUUCAGUAACUGGUACUCCUUUAUAGUAUCAAAUAUUGCAAGGUUUUAAAUUUUCUACCAAUUCUUGAAGCCUUUAUAUGUUUCAGUAAGUGGUAUUCGAUUUAGAGUACCAAAUAUUGCACAGUGUCAAAAGUUAUACAAUUUUUUAUGACUUUAUAUUGUUAAAUAACUGGUAUUCGCUCUACAGUAUCAAAUAUUAUAGAAAUACAUACCAACUUAUAUUUUUCAGUAACUUGUAUUUGCUUUAUAGUACCAAAUAUUGCACAGUGUCGCUAAAUUUUUGGUAAAAAAAUUUGGGGAUAUCAAUUCCCACUCAAUUUUAUAACAAUAUGUUUGUGAAAUGUUACAGGUUCCUUAUAUUUAGCCAAAUUAGGAAACCAGACGAAAAGUGUUCUGGGUAAUACCGCGUCGAACGUUUUCAGUGAGGAAUUUAAAAAAGAAGAAAAUGACCUUGCCGAGAAUGACUUCAUUAAAAAUAUUUGCUCUAAAAUACAGGGCGAAAAACCGGCAGGAUGUCUUGGAAGUGGCGGUGCCGAAACGUUUUUUAUUCUUAACGUAGGACUUUUAUUACUCAUAACAACAUUUACAAGUUACAUUUAUUAGGCUUUGUUAGGUAAGAACAAGUCUUUGUUGUUUUAUUAUAUAGUCGUUUAUACAGGGUGUUUGUUGGAUAGGCCUCACGCCCGAAAAAUAUUUGAGGUUAUUAUACAUUAUCAUAUAUUGACCACAAUUGAUUAUUUAUAUUGAAUAUAUAAGGGAUCUAUUAAUAAUAAUGAUGAAUUUUUAUUUAACAUUUCAAACAUUUUUGGUAAGAUAACCUCAAAAAUUUUAUAGACCAAAUUGGAGAGCCUCCAAAAAUAUACAUUCUGUUGAUUAUGUGAUUAUAAUAUUGUACAUAUUUACUGUAAUUAAAAGAUCUCUUGAUGUUUCAUUGGCAUUUUAAGCAUUUAAGAAAAUAAUUUUAAAUGGAAUGUUUUGAAGUGAAAAAUAUAUACUCUUAGACCAAGAAGUUGUAGAACUUGAAAAGAUCAUUUAUUUAUUUUCAUUAAAACUUCAGUAAACACAAAAAAUAUUGAAUUUCUAGUUACGUAUACAGUUUUUUUGAUUAAUAACAAUUACAAAAGCAUGUCUGUUGAUUUAUCACUUGCACUUUUAAUAUAUUAAAUGUGCAAAAAAAACAUCAAUUUUAUAGCAAUGCCUUAAUAAACUCUUCAUCUACUUUAUUUGCUUAAAAAUAUUAAUACUUUUCCUAGCCUCGCAAAAAUUUAGCAUUUUUUCAUAUUGUGGUAUUUUUGUUUAUUUGUAACAACCAACUAGCAAGUUUUUUAUCAUCUUUAAGUGGGUUUAUACUGGCAAAAAUCAAAAUAAAACCAGAACAUGAUCAUAUUGGUAAAUUUGUAUGCUUAUACCGCUCAAGCAAAAAUAUUUGAAUUGGAUUCUGAUUGUACCCAGGCCCCAAACCUACAUACAUUUGUCUUUUUGAUUUCAAUGUGUUCCCCAAAGGAUGUCUCUUCCCUGAGGGGGGCACAUUUAAAACAAUAUAAACUCGCCAUACAGUAAUUUAUACCUGGAAAUUGAAAUGAAAUCAGAUUUGACCUUAUGGGUAACGAUUAUAUCGUUAUAUCUUUUUCCUGUGUCUUUUGGUCGUUGUCCAAGUUACUGAACCAUAUGUUUCCAUCUCUUGCUAUCAUGUGUCUUUUAUCAUCGUCUUUAUUUUAUCUGUGGUUAUGUCCAUGCUGUAUUUUUUUUGUUUGUUUGUACAAUCCGACAUUUUUUUCGUUCUCUGCAAAGGAAACAGUGAAACCAGUAUGUACAGGUUUUUUUGAAAGAAGAUAAUUAUUUAACAACCCAAAACAACAUUGAACAUAUGUUCAAAAAUUUUUAUGUUAUUGAUGUAUGAACAUCAAAUUUUUUUAUUUUCACAUUUAACUAUCAGUUUAAAUUAACUUUUACGCAAUAUUUGAAAGUUACAGAAUAUUUUUUUUGCUCUGGUACUUUAAUUCAUAAACGUACUUCAACUGUACUUCUUCUUGGUCUACAGUAAAUUUGUAUUUUAACCAAUUAUUGGCUAGUACUACAACUACUAGUAUGCUCAUUAUAUAUAGCUAACUCGUGUUUCAUUGUCAACGGCAUAUAGUGACUAAUUGGUGAUUUAGAUAAAGUUAAUACAGGGUCGUUUCGCAAUAAGGAAAAUCAAACAUUAAAAUGCUUCUUUGAAGACAAUAAGUUGAUUUUAAAUUAUUUUGGGUAUAGUCUCUUUUAUAUAUAUACAUACAUAUAAAUUGAAUAUUUUCAAUAAUAUACAGGGUAUAAAUUAUAUUCAAAAUCAUUCAGUUAUUUUUUUCUAAUAAUUUUGUACAUAUACAGGUGCUACAAAUAUAUUCGAACCCAUUUUACUAAAUACCACUUAUUUUAACUUGUGUAUCUAAUAGGCCAUUUCAAUAAUAAGUCAAGUUAAUAUCAAAAUCAUCUGUUUUCGAUCUAACUUAUUGUUUUGAAAAAACUUGUUCGGGUAUAAUUAGAAUUAAUUUGCGAAAAUGGUCUUUAUGUUUAGUAAAAUUAUCUCAAAGAUAAACAUAGUUUUUAUGAUCUGCCUGUAAUUCUCAAUUACAUAAAUAAAAAAAAAUAAAUGUACUUACACGUGUAAAAGGGCAUACUUAACUGAAACCAAAAUAUUCAUUUGUUUUAUCCAAUCAUUCGAUAUCAGGUAUACGGUGUCUCGAUAAAUUAUUAAUUUUUAUAUUUGUUCGAUUUUUUUGUAUUUAAUCGCAACAUCCGGACUCUUUGUAUCUAAAUUUACAAUAUAAACUGGAAUAUCAAGACUAUUAUUUACGGACAGAAACAACUUAACAAUGAAACGUCUCACAAGGAAUUUUUGAGAUUAUGUAUUGAAAUAGCCUAUAGGACGAUCCAGAACUAUGACCUGCGCAACACUAAUAUGGCAGCUGGACGACAAACAACGUGCUUAACGUUAUUUAGACCACGGGGUUGUGCUAUUUGUUCAGUCUAAUCGUGCGUUAAUUUGCCUUGCCAUUAUGUGCAUAACAUUUUUAAAAUAUGAAGUUACUGUUGAUGUUAACUCCAGCAAUCCUUCAAUGAAUUCAGAAACUGUGUAGAUAUUUAAACCUGUAUAAUAUUUAGUUUUUUUUUUCAUCAUUUCUUGAAACUUCCCUAGAAAGGGUUUUUCAUAAUGUACUGAUACGAACCAACUUAGUAAAAACAUAAGAUAUGUCUUCUGAUGAUAAAUCUUUCUGCAGUUUUGGACUACAUUCAUAUGAACAUUCUUCUAGAAUAUUGUCCACUACUUGUGUUUGGAGUUUCAGUGUCUUCUAGUGAAACACAAAGAUAAUAUUUAAUUAAAUUCUGCCCAAUAACAUAACUAUGAAUAGAAGUACGCUUCAUCAAUCAUCUUUCCUCUUACAAAGGUAGAAUUAAUUAUUUUAUAUGAAGUAUCUCACUCUACAUUACACUAGUUUUUGACGUUUUUCUUACUUUUCGUAUCUUUUUUGUAAUGCAGAGAUGAAGUUCCUUGAAGAACUUUGGCCUCCCAGAAAACUGUUCUCUAUUCUUCUCGAUGUUGUAUUUUCUCCGCCAAUCUGGUACGCCUUGUUCUUUCGUUCUACCAUACCAGGUUGUCUUGGUAGUCUGCGGCUUUCCGGUUUUUACCAAGUUUGACUCCUCGACCCUCUGGCAUCCGUUCGACGUGACUAAGCUAUCUUAGUCUCACACUCUUGAUCUUUGCUACUAGGCUGAGUUCUCCAAACAGGGCGCGAGUCUGCGUUAGUACGGAUGCUCCAUCCUCCUUGGUCUUGCGGCUAUAGAUGCGCCGAAGUGCUUUCCUCUCCUACGAGAUGAGUCUCAGUUCGUCUUUAGCACUCAUUGACCAGGUUUCAGAGGCAUACAUCCCUUUUUUUAUGCGCCUGCGGAGUAGGCGAAACUUCAGCAUCUUUUGUGCACUGUAAUACGCCUUGAUUCCAACUUUCACUUUCUCCUGUAUCUCCAGUGCAGUCUCGUUGUUUUCAAUUAUAAGCGAGCCAAGGUAUUUCAAGGUGUGAAUGCUUCCGUGUCUGCGUAGUCUCAUCUACGCACAUACUUCGUUCAAACUGAGCCCAGCUCGAUUGAAUUCUUCAUUGAAUGUCCGGAAGUCGUCUCUAAGCUCUAUUUCCAUUCUGCUUAGCAGGGCAACAUCGUCUGAGUAAACCAGCUUCUAUUUUAUUUGGUUGUGUAAGGUUCCUGCCAGGUUGGUGUGCAGCUUCCUCCAUAUUCUUUCCAAGGAGAGCAAAAAACAGCAUCUUCUUGUUUCAGACCUUUUUUGACGUUGAAUCGACUUGAUGUUGUGAAGUAAACUCAGCGUUUCAUGAAGGUAGCUGUAGCCUAAGAAGAGUUUAUGCAGUUUCAUGUUGUAUUCGUAGCGCCAUGUGGUCUGUCGUUCUUUUCCUCUUCUGGAAUCAUAUUGGUAGUCUCCAAUAACUCGCUCUGCAUAUACCUCUAGUCUUCCAGACCAUAUUCUGGCCAUUUUCCUCAUUUGACAUCUGGUUAGGAAUUCUGUUUUAAUUUAAAUGAGAUGGGCAAGUUAAACAGAAGUAUAUGUGUGUGUCGUCCAUCGGCCAUAAUUGUUUUCAAGUGAUAGCUACUUGAAUAGACCUACGGUUAUAAAGAUACAAGUGAGGUUAAGAUCUCUUCUACUCUCUUUUUUAUGUGUUUCUACAAUACUAUUUUCAUGUAUUUCCUCUGUUGCCUUCGAUAACGAAUCUUAGAAUGAUUUUAUUUUUUAAUCAGUUUUCUUCGUGUAGAAUAGUGCCAAAAUAAAUAUAUAUAUCUGAAUCACCCAUUUUCCUGUAUCCCGUUUCUAUAUUCAAUUCUCCAAUGUGUUGAAACUAUAAACAUAAUAUUUUAGUGAUAAAAAAACAUGUUGAAAAUGUUUCUUGCUCUGUACAUGCCAAAAAAAACUUUGGGUUAGAUGAUUUAAUUUAUUUAAAGUACAGGGUAAAUAAUUUGAUUUGUAUAGUGUAGUUUAAUAAUUUUGGAAUCGAAGUUUGAAGUAUACACAAGUUUUAGAUUUUUAAAAUUUUAACCAUUUUUGACAUAUAUAAAAAAGUGCGAAAUAAGAUCACGAAACGUCUGUUGUUUGGACGAUUUAAAAGUGGAAAUGAGUCAUUUACGAAUGAGAAACGCUCGGGACGUCGUCUGACUCCAAAAUAGGUGAAAAGAAAAGCGAAAAAACUUGUUGGUUCAAACUAUUUGGAACCUUAGGGAGGAAUUCAACAUCUUGUAUGGUUAAGAAAGAGCAAACGAUUUUAUUCUGCAUUAUUCCUGACGUUAAGAAGACAGCAAUAGAGCAGAAACGCUCUCAGUCAUUAAAUAAUCAUUGGGAAGUGCAAAGGCAGUACUUGGAAAUAAAUUCAUUACAAACUUAACUUCUGGUAUGGUUAAUAAAGAAACCUGAAGAAUGAGCAAACAAAUUUCUUCUUUAUAACUCUUCAUUCACGAGUUUUUGGUAUCUAAAACUCUCUACAACCGCUUUAUUCACCAGGUUUAAGACCACGCGAUUUCUAGCUCUUCCUUAGAAAAAAUAGUUGUCAAUAAGAAUCGUUAUGACGUUUUUGCUGACAUUGAGGUGGUAACGAUAGAGCAGAAACGCUCUCAGUCAUUAAUUAAUCAUUGGGAAGUGGAAAGGCAGUACUUUGAAGUAGAUUGAUAUAUUCUGGAAUGUGAUGAACUGCAAUUAAAUAUCAAGAAAAACGUGUCUGUAAGAACUGUUAGUUGUGUAAUUAACAGUUCGAUGUUAUAGUUCACGCUCCAGAAAUUCCUAAAGUGUGUAGAUAUGCGAAAAAUAAUUAAUUGUCAUUAUUGUAAUGAAAUUAUUAAAAAUUUAUCUAUUCACACAUAAUCUCCCGAAUUUUACUUCCAUAUUAUAAAUUUUGGUUAAUUUUCGUUAAAUUUCAAACCUCGAUUCAGAUUUAUCGCCGAAAAAUUAUUUUUUUAAAUUCUAAUGGGUUCUGUACUCAAUAUACAUGGAGAGUCACUAAGACACUACAAUGUUUGCGAACAAAAAUUAAGGUUUUAUUUUGCUCUCCCUGUAUACAAUAUGCUGUCAUUUGACCCAUUUAUAUGUAUAUAUUUCCAAAGUUUGUAAGUGUUGAAAAGUGUGGCAGGUAAUCGUUAUAAUUUUUUUUAUUUACGUAAAAUUUUAGAACAUGACGUCCAAUGUAUUUAUAUUCUUGUAGGGUUUCUAUAUUUUGUUAAAUUUAUCUUUUAAACAACGAAAAAUGGUAUCCAGUUCUCUUAUAUUUAUCGAAAAACUUAAUUUGCAUAAAACGUUUUAAACUAUAAUAAUCUUUUACUAUUAGCCGCACCCCCACACAUUCCAGUCCAAUCAAAAAGUCAUACCGAUUGUAGGGAGAGUCCGCCAAAUUUAAGCAGAAUGUGGUGGUUGUUCCAAAUCAACUGACAAGUUUAAAUUUUUUUGGUUUCCGAUAUAUUUAUACAGUGAACGGCAUAAGAUAUAAAAAUAUUUUUGGUGGUUGCUACCCCUUUCCGAGUGAUAUAUUAUCGGCGACUACGCUAGAUUUCUACCUGACCAGUGGUUCGCUGUUGGAGGUGAGGAUGGCGCCAGCUAGCGUUUGUUUGGGGAAUGUUUACCUACAUGAACCAAACAGUGACGCUCUUUGACGUUGUAUUCAGUUUUGGUGUCAAGCCCGAACGAGGGUUGUUUAACCACUCUGAUGAGACGUAAUAACGUCGAAACUAAUCACUGGCUACAAACCCCUCCUUGCAACUGCGAGCCAUUGGAGAUUUUAAUAUAGACAAAAAGGUCGAUUGUCAUCACGCUCUUCAUAGGAGAUGUAAUUAAAUAUUAAUCGAGGCAUUAGCCAGGAAAGUAGUUGUUUUCUCCUUUGAAGAAUGGCAGAAUACAUUUUCGAAGUUAUUUCAGAGGUGAAUACUAGGAUACUUGGGACACCUAAUUUAAAAUCGAAAUAUUUAUAUAAAACAAAAUCACGAAAAAUUUUUUUUGGGGGAAGCAGUAAUGGAAGAAUUUUUUUCAAUUCAGUGAACUUUUCUUAUAUUACACUAAGCUUUGCAUCUAUUUUCAAAGUGGUUACAAAGUAUAUUCUGCCGUUCUUCAAAGGAGAAAACAACUACUUUCCUCGCUAAUGCCUCGACGAAUAUUGAAUUAUAUCUCUUCUGAAGAGCGUAAUGUCAAUUGAAACUGGCUAGUUUCGACGUUAUUACGUCUCAUUAGAAUGGCUUAACAAUAAAAAAAUUACGAACACCUUGCGUGGAUAAUGACGCGAAUUUAUUAAAUUAUUGUACUUUAAUCGAUUUUAAAUAAUUCACAUGAAUUCGACGUUUUCAAAAUGCUUCGAAAUUGAGUUCAAAAAUUAAUAUAUAAUAAUAAAAUAUAGGAGUGUACCCUUAUCCAAUUAUAGAUCGUCUACCAUUGGUUGGGUUGCUACCAUCAGCGUUCUCAACGUUCUUCAUGACAUUUGAAAUAGGGGGGUUCGAAAACCAGCAUUUUAGACACACUUACUUGAGCAUUUUGUAUCCGUCGAGUCCGGUAAAUUAUGUUUCAAUUAUCUUGAGACUUUUUUCAUUCGUUUCAAAACUCAAACUGUAUUUCACUUAAAUAUAAAAACAAAAUACCAUUUUUCUACAAUAUUAUAUUCCUUAUCUAUUGUUAAUAUACUUGAUACAUUUCUUCAGAAAAAAUUUGUGAUAUUUUCCUUGUAAAAAAGUGAUCAAGCAGUUGUGAAUAAUUAUAGUUAUGAAAAAUGUUUUUUAAAGUCAAAAUACUAUUCUAUGAGUGUUAUAACAUGUAAAUAAUGUUAUAAAAAAAUAUCUGACACUUUUUUAUAUCACAUCUAUCAAAUAUUGUGAGAAAUCAUCUUACAACCAUCUCUAAAAAUCUCUUAUUUAAUGAAUAGUCUAAGAAGAAUACAGUGACUAGCACUACAACACUCUCAAAUACUUGGUAUCGAAACUCUAUUUUCAUUUCGUCACUUACACCAUAUUAGUUGCUUUCUAAUUUAUUAAGCACUUUGUACAAGAAACUUCGAUAAGUUCUGAGUCAAGUGUCAAAUUAUUUGUUUGUUGCUGAGUCCGACGUACAAGAUACUUCAUUAACUGAAUAUAAAAUACAAAUAUUAUGGAAACACUCCUUUGAAAUAAUACUUUUACUGUAUGAAUUGAAACGAUGUUUUUGCCAUAUAGAUUAAGAACCUUUUCUUUGUGGGAAUGUGGCAAUAGAAACCAAAGAGGAAACCAACAAAACGAAAAGCAUGCUUCGUGUAGCCGAAAUGAAAACGCUCUGGACUAUAGUGGGAAAACAAGAGUAGAUCGAAUCAGAAGCACUGAUCAUGGAACAAUAUGAGGGAGACAAAGAAAAAAAAACAGGUACGCCCACGUGAGAUGAAUGAAAGAGAGUAGACUGCCACGCAUCGCACUUGAAGGAAAACCAAUAGGGAAAAGAGAGCCCAGACGACCACCUAAGAGAUGGUUGAACAGCUGGCAGUCUACCUUCCAGGAACUGAUAGAGAGGAACCUGCAAAAUUAACAAAACAUGAGAUCUUAAAUAUGAAUAAGAAGAAGAAUGUGGUAAAAUUAAACUCCAAAGUGUACUAAAUCUAAUAUAUUCCGAGCUUUUGGAUACUUAUGUAUUCUUGACUAAUCAUUUCCCAGACGACGAAUACAUAAGUAGUCGAAAGCUUGGUAUAUAUUAGAUAUAGUACACUUUGGUGUUCAAUUUUUCCACUAAGAAAACGAUGCUCUUUUCACGAUAUUGGGCCCUUUUAUAAUGUUCUUUAUUAAGUAGGUAAUAUUGCAUGUUCCCAAUUUGUUUCUAAAUUUGUUCUACAAACACAAACAUUGAUCUGAUGUUUGGGGGACAAAACGCAACUGUGAUGGGUUUGGAUCAUUGCGCACCCUUCUGCUCGAUUAGGUGCUCAAAUUGUGUAAUUGGAAAGCGACUAUUGUGAGAGCUGUCAGAUUUUAAAUGCUCAAUGAAUGGUAUCAAACAGCAUAUAUAUUUAAUAAGCUUCACCUAUUUGUUGAAUUAUGUUUACAAGGAAAAAAAUGCUUGUUUCAAAAAUUGAACCAAUUAAAGCUUUGGCAGAUACGUAAUACAACAAAUUUUGUUUAUUUAGCAAAGGUGGACGUGCAUCUAAAGAAAUCAUAAAAUUAGAUAUUUGAAAAAAAUUACCUUGUUAAGUUAAGAGAAAAAAAACUUGUUUGAAAUACUGAUUGAAUUUUGGUUUAUGAGCUUAAAAAAACUGAAAUAAGUCUAGAAACUUUGAAAGAAUUUCACUAAAAAAUUUGUGGCUAAUUAUUUCUCAAACAUUAAUUUUGUUGCUUGCAACAUAAUAGUAACAAGAAACGGGUCCUAUUUUUUUGAAAAAAAUAUUCCAAAAUUUUGCUAGCUCGACAGAUAUUUUUGCUCAUGGUUUUUUCUAUAAGAAUUGUGUAUUUGAUAUUACUAAAUUAUCAAAUUUUAAUGUAAAAUUGGUAUUAAUAUCAUUUAUAGCAAUAAAAUUAAUUAAUCAAUUAAAUCAACAAAUAUUUCAACAACAUUAGUUCGAUGUCACUGACUUAUCAACAACUUCUUUUACGUCUUUUAGUUCUGAUACAGUUAAUUUUAUUAAAAAACUGGUUUAAUCAGAAGGGAAAUGAUAAGAAUUUUGUGUUUUGAAAAUGUUUGUUUUCAAACAUCCUUUGUGAGUAAAAACAUUCAUAAACGUUUUAGGUGCAUCUUUAUCAUUUUUUUCUCUCUUCAAUCUACGUUUAAAUACACUCACAUUAGCUUCACCUGUAUAUGAGUUCGUUUUUGAGUUUGUUUCUAACCCUCCUUUGGACUAAGAACAAGAGACUUAUUUAAUACAAAUUUCGUUCAACAGAAGAUUCGAACCUCCGAUCUCCAUGUUGGAAAUUAAGCUCGUCGACAACCUUACCAACUAUACCGUAAUGGCUCGGUUAAAAAAAUAACAAGUAGAAAAUGAAUAUAGUUUUAAAAAAACCAAAACACGCGUUUUCAUUUUUUUACUUUUGGAAUUAGAAAAAUCUCAGUUACCUAUUAGUCAUGUUUAUAUCCUUCUUCAAAAAAUCUAUAGAAAUAUUAAAUGUUGGAGAACAAUGACUAGAAUAUGGGAUAAAUCUUUAUUUACACCACAUAGAUACAAAUACAAAGGCACUGUUUGUAUGAUAGUGUUGCAGUUAUUGGAACUACAAAUUUCUCUUCUGGACAAGUGAGAGAAUAAAGAAAACUAACGAUUCUCCUCGAAUAUUUAAUAAACUGUGUGUAUAUUUACUUUUCAACAUGCUGUUCCCUUAUCGUACAAAAAGCUCCCUAUGGUAUCUGUAUGAAUUUGAAUGUUUAGUACUGCUUUGACCAUAUUAACAACAUGUCCUCGAGUAGCGAAGGUAAAGUUUGUUUAUUUGCGAUUGAGGAGGAAACGAAAACACUAUUGGUGGCAUAGAGACCCGGGUGCUUUUCAAUAUCUAGCGCCAAUUUUAACAUUUCCGACUCUAGAGACAUUAUGUCAUACAAAAAAUGUUGAAUAUUCCGCCGCUACUCACUCGGGUGAUGCAGAGCCUGUACUGAUCUUGCAUACCGAGAGCAAGUCGUACCGAAAACGAAUUUUACCGACCAAUCCGAAUGUCUGCGUUGGUACGUCUAGCGAUAUAAUGGCAAAAAUAGUAGGAGAUAAAUUUCCAAUUGGAAUUUGACAGAGGUGGAGUGACAACCUAGAGGAUUAGGAAAAAUAUGGAAUACGGAACAGGUGAUAGAUCUAUUAAGGAAGAAAGAAGGAUUUUAAAGAGGAAUGAGUUCUGGUUGAAAGGUUAUAGUUCUUUCAAAGAUGUGGAAUGUCCUGGAAUCCGAUUUACUAAUUUUAUUGAUAUGAAAAAGUCUAAUUUUGUAUCGAAUGUAAUGAAUGGUCAGUUAUUUAUCCACCAUUUUAUGAUUUCUUUGGAGUUUGCACAAUUCUACAAAUUCAUUUGUGAAUUGUAGAUAGAAAAAGAUCAGUGUUGAAAUAAAUUUCCGCUUUUUAUGUAAUUAUUGAAAGAUCUAUAAGAAAAAAAAAAUAUAAAAAAAUAGAAUAGAUUAGCAAAGUUACAUUCUUAACCAUUAUCGAUGGUGUUGAAACAUAGAUGUUUAUUAGGUAACGUCAUUAAGAAUUAAAAGAUUUUUAUAUGUAUGUAUAUAAAAAAUCUGUCUACGUUGGACAAAAGAAAAGCUUCAAAACGUGUAAAUGACAUUAAAAAAAAUAUUUACUUGGCCAGUCGACUUUUAAGUUUGUAUUUGUUUUAACCUUGAAUAAAUUUAACUAUUGUUUGAGAUAUUAUUUUAUAACCUAAAAGUUAUAUAUUAAAUAUUUUUUUU